rnacentral:rRNA from 1 species
GACCUCGGGAGCCUAUACAGGUGUUGCAUGGCUGUCGUCAGCUCGUGUCGUGAGAUGUUCGGUUAAGUCCGCUAACGAGCGCAACCCUCGUCGUAUGUUAUAUGUGUCAUACGAGACUGCCGGUAAAAGCCGGAGGAAGGUGAGGAUGAUGUCAAGUCAGCAUGACCUUUAUAUCCAGGGCUACACACACGCUACAAUGGUCUGUACAAUGGGUAGCCAAGCCGCGAGGCGGAGCCAAUCCUGAAAGCAGGCCUCAGUUCAGAUUGCAGUCUGAAACUCGACUGCAUGAAGUCGGAGUUGCUAGUAAACGCAGGUCAGCUAUACUGCGUUGAAUACGUUCCCGGGGCUU